rnacentral:rRNA from 1 species
GACGAACGCUGGCGGCGUGCUUAACACAUGCAAGUCGAACGGAAAGGCCCUGCUUGCAGGGUACUCGAGUGGCGAACGGGUGAGUAACACGUGGGUGAUCUGCCCGGCACUUCGGGAUAAGCCUGGGAAACUGGGUCUAAUACCGGAUAGGAGCCAUUUUUAGUGUGAUGGUUGGAAAGUUUUUUUCGGUGUAGGAUGAGCUCGCGGCCUAUCAGCUUGUUGGUGGGGUAAUGGCCUACCAAGGCGGCGACGGGUAGCCGGCCUGAGAGGGUGGACGGCCACAUUGGGACUGAGAUACGGCCCAGACUCCUACGGGAGGCAGCAGUGGGGAAUAUUGCACAAUGGGCGCAAGCCUGAUGCAGCGACGCCGCGUGGGGGAUGACGGCCUUCGGGUUGUAAACUCCUUUCGCUAGGGACGAAGCUUUUUGUGACGGUACCUAGAGAAGAAGCACCGGCUAACUACGUG